UACGAAGGGGGCUAGCGUUGCUCGGAAUCACUGGGCGUAAAGGGUGCGUAGGCGGGUCUUUAAGUCAGGGGUGAAAUCCUGGAGCUCAACUCCAGAACUGCCUUUGACACUGAAGAUCUUGAGUUCGGGAGAGGUGAGUGGAACUGCGAGUGUAGAGGUGAAAUUCGUAGAUAUUCGCAAGAACACCAGUGGCGAAGGCGGCUCACUGGCCCGAUACUGACACUGAGGCGCGAGAGCGUGGGGAGCAAACAGG
rnacentral:rRNA from 1 species